rnacentral:rRNA from 1 species
AGCAGCCGCGGUAAUUCCAGCUCCAAUAGCGUAUAUUAAAGUUGUUGCAGUUAAAAAGCUCGUAGUUGAAUUUCGGGAUCGAAUUGUUGGUCGUGCUUCGGUACGCACUGGCAUUAUUGGUUCCUACCUUCUGAAGAACCGCGAUGUCAUUAAUUUGGUGUCGUGGGGAAUCAGGACUGUUACUUUGAAAAAUUAGAGUGUUUAAAGCAGGCGCACGCUUGAAUACAUUAGCAUGGAAUAAUGAAAUAGGACGUUUGAUUCUAUUUUGUUGGUUUCCAGGAUCGACGUAAUGAUUAAUAGGGAUAGUUGGGGGCAUUAGUAUUCAAUUGUCAGAGGUGAAAUUCUUGGAUUUAUUGAAGACUAACUACUGCGAAAGCAUUUGCCAAGGAUGUUUUCAUUAAUCAAGAACGAAAGUUAGGGGAUCGAAGACGAUCAGAUACCGUCGUAGUCUUAACCAUAAACUAUGCCGACUAGGGAUCGGAUGAUGUUAAUUUUUUAAUGUACUCAUUCGGCGCCUUAC